rnacentral:lncRNA from 1 species
GAUGAGGAUGUAAUAACCCUAAUUGCAUCUAAGUGUUAUUUUGAUGACUUAAUCACUAAUUAAACAGUUAGUAGCUUAAGUCAUGAGUAUGAGAAUGAUGACAUGAUUAGUAAAUUACACUAAGUAAUAAGGGCAAUAGAGACUUUACCCAUGGAAUUGUAUAUAAACAUGGAUUUAGAGAGAUGUUUCACUUUUCCUUUC